UUGUAUGUAUGUACUAUUGUAAGUAUUAGAUUUAGAUAUGUAGUUCUUCAUCUAUUAUGCCAAAAAUAAUAUAGGUUCUCUUAAUAUCUUUAUUAUUUAUAUUUUUAUUAGACAUGUCUGUCCGUCCGUUCGAUAGCAAGAUAACUCAAAAACGAAUAAAAGAAACAACACCAAAUUUUCACAAAAUGUUUCUAUUCUGCCAAGGACGGACCCCAUUGUAACUGGAUAAACUUGGCAAACAGGUUCAGGUAAUUGCCGUGAAAUUCAACGAGAGGAUUGUUGCAUAUUUUAAAAACUAAUAUAGUCCAAUUACAUUUUACAUGUAUGUAUUCAAAAAAUUUGAUAGAAUGGUUGCACUGGUUUGGAGCUGUCAUAUAAUCACGUAUUCAAUUAUGGGUCAGACACAUUGAAUAAAUUUUGGUAGUGUGACUUGAAUGGUUCGGGUAAUAUCCAAUAUUAGCUUAAAAGCUAAUAAGUAUUGAAUUUUUCAAAAAAAUAAUAAAGUUGCCUGCAUGCUAGAUAUAUCCUUGAAGUUUUUGAAUUAUAUAUCACCCACAUUCAUAAAGUUUUUAUGAGAUGGUUAGACAGGGUAUGACUCAGUCCGUUCAAAUUGACUGCAACGUUUUAACUUGUUUUAGAAAUCAUUAAGGAUGUCUAUGCAAAAAGCUUUAAAAUUUUACAUGUAAAGAUUGCUAGUUUUUAAUAUUAGCUCAAAU